rnacentral:rRNA from 2 species
GAGCCUUCGUAACAGGAUCCCUCGGGAACUGAGGCUAAUUCCGGAUACUGCUUUCAUGUUGGAACACAGAAAGUCGGAAACGGUCCGCCGCCGGAGGACGUGACUGCGGCCGAUUAGGUAGACGGUGGGGUAACGGCCCACCGUGCCGAUAAUCGGUACGGGUUGUGAGAGCAAGAACCCGGAGACGGUAUCUGAGACAAGAUACCGGGCCCUACGGGGCGCAGCAGGCGCGAAACCUUUACACUGCACGCCAGUGCGAUAAGGGGACCCCGAGUGCGAGGGCAUACAGUCCUCGCUUUUCGUGACCGUAAGAAGGUCUCAGAAUAAGAGCUGGGCAAGACCGGUGCCAGCCGCCGCGGUAAUACCGGCAGCUCGAGUGAUAGCCACUAUUAUUGGGCCUAAAGCGUCCGUAGCCGGCCGAACAGGUCCGUCGGGAAAUCCACCCGCUCAACGGGUGGACGUCCGGCGGAAACCAGUCGGCUUGGGGCCGGGAGACCAGAGAGGUACGUCCGGGGUAGGAGUGAAAUCCUGUAAUCCUGGACGGACCGCCGGUAGCGAAAGCGUCUCUGGAGAACGGACCCGACGGUGAGGGACGAAAGCUUGGGUCUCGAACCGGAUUAGAUACCCGGGUAGUCCAAGCUGUAAACGAUGCUCGCUAGGUGUGGCGUUGGCUACGAGCCAGCGCUGUGCCGUAGGGAAGCCGAGAAGCGAGCCGCCUGGGAAGUACGUCCGCAAGGAUGAAACUUAAAGGAAUUGGCGGGGGAGCACUACAACCGGAGGAGCCUGCGGUUUAAUUGGACUCAACGCCGGACAUCUCACCGGCACCGACAGUGUGCAGUGACAGUCAGUCUGAUGGGCUUACUUGAGCCACUGAGAGGAGGUGCAUGGCCGCCGUCAGCUCGUACCGUGAGGCGUCCUGUUAAGUCAGGCAACGAGCGAGACCCGCGUCCCUAAUUGCCAGCAGCAGCCUUUGUUGCUGGCUGGGUACAUUAGGGAGAACUGCCGUCGCUAAAACGGAAGAAGGGACGGGCAACCGGUAGUCAGUAUGCCCGAAUGUUGCCGGGCGAACACGCGGGCUACAAUGUCCGAAAACGUGGGAACGCUACGCGAAAAGGGGACGCUAUCUUCUUACCUUCGGUCGUAGUUCGGAAUUGGGGGUGAACCACCGCAUGAAGCUGGAUUCGUAUAAUCGAUCCGAGAUGCCGGGAAAUACGUCCGGGACAUCUCUGGA